CCCUUAGAUGUUCUGGGCCGCACGCGCGCUACACUGAUGCAUUCAACGAGCCUAUCCUUGACCGACAGGUCCGGGUAAUCUUUGAAUCUGCAUCGUGACGGGGAUAGAUUAUUGCAAUUAUUAAUCUUCAACGAGGAAUGCCUAGUAGGCGCAAGUCAUCAGCUUGCGUCGAUUACGUCCCUGCCCUUUGUACACAUCGCCCGUCGCUCCUACCGAUUGGGUGUGCUGGUGAAAUGUUCGGAUCGGCCGUUUGUCGCGGUUUCCGCGUCAUGUGGCUGAGAAGUUCAUUAAACCCUCCCACCUAGAGGAAGGAGAAGUCGUAACA
rnacentral:rRNA from 1 species